CUCCAGACUCCUACGGGAGGCAGCAGUGGGGGAUAUUGCACAAUGGGGGGAACCCUGAUGCAGCGACGCCGCGUGGGUGAAGAAGCGCCUCGGCGCGUAAAGCCCUGUCAGCAGGGAAGAAAAUGACGGUACCUGAAGAAGAAGCCCCGGCUAACUACGUGCCAGCAGCCGCGGUAAUACGUAGGGGGCAAGCGUUAUCCGGAUUUACUGGGUGUAAAGGGAGCGUAGACGGCAGCGCAAGUCUGAAGUGAAAUGCCGGGGCUUAACCCCGGAACUGCUUUGGAAACUGAGCAGCUAGAGUGCAGGAGAGGUAAGUGGAAUUCCUAGUGUAGCGGUGAAAUGCGUAGAUAUUAGGAGGAACACCAGUGGCGAAGGCGGCUUACUGGACUGUAACUGACGUUGAGGCUCGAAAGCGUGGGGAGCAAAC
rnacentral:rRNA from 1 species